rnacentral:rRNA from 1 species
UACGUAGGGUGCAAGCGUUGUCCGGAAUUAUUGGGCGUAAAGAGCUCGUAGGCGGUCUGUCACGUCGGCUGUGAAAACCCGGGGCUCAACCCCGGGCCUGCAGUCGAUACGGGCAGACUAGAGUGCGGUAGGGGAGACUGGAAUUCCUGGUGGUAGCGGUGAAAUGCGCAGAGUAUCAGGAGGAACACCGGUGGCGAAGCGGGUCUCUGGGCCGUAACUGACGCUGAGGAGCGAAAGCGUGGGGAGCGAACAGG